rnacentral:rRNA from 1 species
UACGUAGGGUGCAAGCGUUAAUCGGAAUUACUGGGCGUAAAGCGUGCGCAGGCGGCUUUGCAAGACAGAUGUGAAAUGCCCGGGCUUAACCUGGGAACUGCAUUUGUGACUGCAUGGCUAGAGUUUGGCAGAGGGGGGUAGAAUUCCACGUGUAGCAGUGAAAUGCGUAGAUAUGUGGAGGAACACCGAUGGCGAAGGCAGCCCCCUGGGUCAAGACUGACGCUCAUGCACGAAAGCGUGGGGAGCAAACAGGAU